rnacentral:tRNA from 1 species
GCGGAGAUGCUGGAGUGGUCAAACAGGACAGCCUCAAGAGCUGUUGACUUAGUGUCUACAUAGGUUCGAAUCCUGUUCUCCGCA